AAAAUGUAGUUAUACAUACCUAAGAAAAACAACGUAACCAACAUUAACACGUACUUUUUCAUUUUCUUCUUUUUCUCCACCUCCCUUCUUUUUCUUUUUCUUCUUUUUUUUUCCUCCU
rnacentral:ribozyme from 14 species